ACGAACGCUGGCGGCGUGCUUAACACAUGCAAGUCGAACGGAAAGGCCCUGCUUUUGUGGGGUGCUCGAGUGGCGAACGGGUGAGUAACACGUGAGUAACCUGCCCUUGACUUUGGGAUAACUUCAGGAAACUGGGGCUAAUACCGGAUAGGAGCUCCUGCUGCAUGGUGGGGGUUGGAAAGUUUCGGCGGUUGGGGAUGGACUCGCGGCUUAUCAGCUUGUUGGUGGGGUAGUGGCUUACCAAGGCUUUGACGGGUAGCCGGCCUGAGAGGGUGACCGGCCACAUUGGGACUGAGAUACGGCCCAGACUCCUACGGGAGGCAGCAGUGAGGAAUAUUGCACAAUGGGCGGAAGCCUGAUGCAGCAACGCCGCGUGCGGGAUGACGGCCUUCGGGUUGUAAACCGCUUUCGCCUGUGACGAAGCGUGAGUGACGGUAAUGGGUAAAGAAGCACCGGCUAACUACGUG
rnacentral:rRNA from 1 species